CCUACGGGCGGCAGCAGUGGGGAAUAUUGGACAAUGGGGGCAACCCUGAUCCAGCCAUGCCGCGUGUGUGAAGAAGGCCCUCGGGUUGUAAAGCACUUUCAGUGAGGAAGAACGCCUGGUGGUUAUUACCCAUCAGGAAAGACAUCACUCACAGAAGAAGCACCGGCUAACUCCGUGCCAGCAGCCGCGGUAAUACGGAGGGUGCGAGCGUUAAUCGGAAUUACUGGGCGUAAAGCGCGCGUAGGUGGCUUGAUAAGCCGGUUGUGAAAGCCCCGGGCUCAACCUGGGAACGGCAUCCGGAACUGUCAAGCUAGAGGGCAGGAGAGGAAGGUAGAAUUCCCGGUGUAGCGGUGAAAUGCGUAGAGAUCGGGAGGAAUACCAGUGGCGAAGGCGGCCUUCUGGACUGACACUGACACUGAGGUGCGAAAGCGUGGGUAGCAAACAGGAUUAGAUACCCUAGUAGUC
rnacentral:rRNA from 1 species